AAGUCGUAACAAGGUUUCCGUAGGUGAACCUGCGGAAGGAUCAUUAACUAAAUUUCAACGUCUGUUUCGUUUGAAAUCCACUCUGCGUACCUUUACCUGUUGCUUCCCCCCGUGCCAGCCGCCCGGGGGGGAGGAAACCCGCAAACCCUUUGCUUUCCAUGGUGUCGGUCUGAACAAAGAAUUUGAUAUUAAAACGUCAAAAAUUCAAAAAACUUUCAACAACGGAUCUCUUGGUUCUCCCAUCGAUGAAGAACGCAGCGAAAUGCGAUAAGUAGUGUGAAUUGCAGAAUUCAGUGAAUCAUCGAAUCUUUGAACGCACAUUGCGCCCCCUGGCACUCCGGGGGGCAUGCCUGUUCGAGCGUCAUCAAUAGCCCCUCGGGUCGUGGCUCCCCAGCCGGAACCAUGGCCCGGUCUUGGGCGUGAGGGACCGUAGUCGGCCCCCUCGGCCCGCAAUCCAUCGGCGGACGUCCUGCGGGGCAAGAGCGUGAUGAAGCGUUCAAACGCGAUUGUCAGCCGGUAUGUCCAGCCACAAACCCCCCCACUCCGGAGUGCUAGCACUCCUCCGUUUGACCUCGGAUCAGGUAGGGAUACCCGCUGAACUUAAGCAUAUCAAUAAGCGGAGGAAAAGAAACCAACAGGGAUUGCCUUAGUAACUGCGAGUGAAGCGGCAAAAGCUCAAAUUUGAAAUCUGUGUCCUUCGGGACACCGAGUUGUAAUUUCGAGAUGCGUUUUCGUCCGACAGGCCUGCCUUAAGUCCCUUGGAACAGGGCGUCACAGAGGGUGAGAAUCCCGUGAACGGUAGGCCUCGAGGCGCGUGAUACGUAUUCAACGAGUCGAGUUGUUUGGGAAUGCAGCUCAAAAUGGGUGGUAAAUUUCAUCUAAAGCUAAAUAUUGGGGAGAGACCGAUAGCGCACAAGUAGAGUGAUCGAAAGAUGAAAAGCACUUUGAAAAGAGAGUUAAAAAGUACGUGAAAUUGUUGAAAGGGAAGCGCUUGAGGCCAGACUCGAUCGCUGUUGAUCAACCUUAGUUCUCUGGGGUGCAAUCGGCAGCUUUCGGGACAGCAUCGGUUCUCACGGAGGGACAAAGCCUCGGGAAAUGUGGCACCCUUCGGGGUGUGUUAUAGUCCUCCGGGUAAUGCCUCCAGCGGGGACCGAGGACCGCGCUUCGGCUAGGAUGCUGUCGUAAUGGCCUUCAGCGACC
rnacentral:rRNA from 1 species